CGUUGGCGUAUAUAACAUAAGUGAAACAGUUUUGAACUGGCAUUGGUUAGACAGGCGUUUCUGUGAUCUGCGCUGUGGUUCCAGUCCUGCAGGCGGCGCUGUGGCUGCGCUCAGACUCAUGUAGACGCACAGGAGCUCAGAGAGUGAAUAAAAAAAUUAACUCGUUGUAACUACACAUAUUUUGAUCAGAUAUAUAUGUACAAAAAUGUACCGAGGUACGUCAAACCCGGACUAUCACCGGCCACUGGUACCCCCGUCAGGGUUUGGACACCCCGCAGCAUCUUUUGGACCUCCGCCGUUCUGCCCUCCUUUUGGGGUUCCUCCGGGGCCUCGAUACUGUGUUCCACCGCCCGGUCCUUCUCCGGGACGCCCGUACGGAACAGGGAAUGAAAACUACAACAGAAAAUCUUUUUACGAGAGCCGACCCUUCACCAGCCCCACUGCUGACCAAAGUGGAUCCACGCUGAUCAGCUCUCUGCUCACACCUUCAAACCAGCAUCAGCUUGGUCACUCCUCACAAAACUGGUCAACCCAAAGUCUAGAUGAGCAAAACCAAGAAGUCAGGAAAAAGGCAGAAGAGUUUCUCCGAAUCCUGGAAGCAAGUGACCGGAUUGAGCUGGCAGGAGAUAAAAGUGACAAUGGCACAGGAGACGAGCAUCCAAGCCGAACGCGGAGUCGGAGCAGAGGGAGGAGCCGUCCACGCAGUCGCAGCAGGAGCUGUGGAAGGAGCCGGGCUCGUAGUCGAGCUCGGAGUCGUGGAAAGAGUCGGGCUCGCAGCAGAACACGCAGCCGUAGUCACAGUCGAGGUAAAAGCCGCACAAGGGCCAAAAGUCGUGCGAGGAGUCGUAGCCGCAGUCGUAGUCACGGGAAGAGCGGAACGCACAGUAAGAGUCAGUCACGCCUAAGCCCCAGCCAGACAAAACAUUCUUCCAGAGGGACUGCUGAAGGCUCUAGCAGCACCAGCAGCGGAAUAAGUCUUGGCGGUAGUGCCAUGCCUGAUCUAUUUCAUGGACUAAGACAGAUCCUACAGAACAAGGAUCUAGACAAACACCUGCCUUUGGUCAAGGACGCCCUACUUAGAAACCAGGUGCACAACACUAUUCUGUUAUGUUUUGAGUUUGAGUCUCUUAUGUUUUUUGGUUUAUGGUUCAAUGAAUGACAUGAUGUUUAUUAAAGCUACACUAUGUAACUUUUUUUUUUUUUUUAAUAAAACAAUGUUAUUGAGACCGUCCAAAAUAAUCCAACUUCCAACCCAUUUUUACCCAAAUCCACUUUGAUAAACCUGUAAUAAUAUUAAUGUAAUACAAUACAAUAUAAAGCUGUUACAAUGUUUUUACGGGAAAUUGUAUACAAACAUCAUUCCCCCAUGCUUGCCAUGUAAUUUCUGUACACAGAGAAAAGUAGCUUAGGCUGUGGGUAGCAUAAACAAGAAAACUUGACCAUAAAUCAUUCAAAAUGGCAAACCUCUGAAGAAUCACCAAUUGUAAAGACAAAAAGUAUAAAAACAUAGUAUGUAGCUAAAAAGGAAAAACAUUAAAAUGCAAUUCAUACAGACUUGGUUUUUAAUAAAAAAAAAAAAAAAGUAAAUAAAAUUUUGAUAUUUAUUUGGAUCUUUUGAAAAUUCUAG
ensembl:lncRNA zinc finger protein 318-like